ACUCAAAGGAAUAGACGGGGGCCCGCACAAGCGGCGGAGCAUGCGGAUUAAUUCGAUGCAACGCGAAGAACCUUACCUGGGCUUGACAUGCGCGGAAAUCCGGCAGAGAUGUCGGGUCCGCAAGGGCCGCGCACAGGUGGUGCAUGGCUGUCGUCAGCUCGUGUCGUGAGAUGUUGGGUUAAGUCCCGCAACGAGCGCAACCCUCGUCCCGUGUUGCCAGCACAUAAUGGUGGGAACUCACGGGAGACUGCCGGGGUCAACUCGGAGGAAGGUGAGGUCGAAGUCAAGUCAUCAUGCCCCUUACGUCCAGGGCUUCACGCAUGCUACAAUGGCCGGUACAAAGGGCUGCGAUACCGCAAGGUGGAGCGAAUCCCAAAAAGCCGGUCUCAGUUCGGAUCGGGGUCUGCAACUCGACCCCGUGAAGUCGGAGUCGCUAGUAAUCGCAGAUCAGCAACGCUGCGGUGAAUACGUUCCCGGGCCUUGUACACACCGCCCGU
rnacentral:rRNA from 1 species